rnacentral:rRNA from 1 species
AAUAGAUACCCUGGUAGUCCACGCCCUAAACGAUCGUCAACUGGUUGUUGGGAAUUUAUUUUCUCAGUAACGAAGCUAACGCGUGAAGUUGACCGCCUGGGGAGUACGGCCGCAAGGUUAAAACUCAAAGGAAUUGACGGGGACCCGCACAAGCGGUGGAUGAUGUUCUUUAAUUCGAUGCAACGCGAAAAACCUUACCCACCUUUGACAUGUAUGGAAUCCUUUAGAGAUGAAGGAGUGCUCGAAAGAGAGCCAUAACACAGGUGCUGCAUGGCUGUCGUCAGCUCGUGUCGUGAGGUGUUGGGUUAAGUCCCGCAACGAGCGCAACCCUUGCCAUUAGUUGCUACAAAAGGGCACUCUAAUGGGACUGCCGGUGACAAACCGGAGGAAGGUGGGGAUGACGUCAAGUCCUCAUGGCCCUUAUAGGUGGGGCUAGAAACGUCAUACAAUGGCCGGUACAAAGGGUAGCCAAGCCGCGAGGUGGAGCCAAUCCCAUAAAGCCGGUCGUAGUCCGGAUCGCAGUCUGCAACUCGACUGCGUGAAGUCGG